rnacentral:lncRNA from 1 species
AGAGAUCACCAAGAGUGCUUCCUUCCUCAAGAGCACUGGCCGUUCUUGAGCAUCUUUCUUUUCAAGUUUUCCUUUUCCAACUCAGUAGAUUAUACUACAAUUUGUAGCCGAUUUGUACUUUACAUAAUAGAGAGGAAUGAAUCGAAUCUCUUGUUGUAAGUUGUAGUUGUCGCAUCUUAUUUGUCCAUCUGGAUGAAAGUCCAGAAAUCGUAAUUGAAUGGUAGCAC